UCAACUUCUCAGCCAAUGAGUUGACAUGC
rnacentral:piRNA from 1 species